CAGCCGCCGCGGUAAUACGUAGGUGGCAAGCGUUGUCCGGAAUUAUUGGGCGUAAAGGGCUCGCAGGCGGUUUCUUAAGUCUGAUGUGAAAGCCCCCGGCUCAACCGGGGAGGGUCAUUGGAAACUGGGAAACUUGAGUGCAGAAGAGGAGAGUGGAAUUCCACGUGUAGCGGUGAAAUGCGUAGAGAUGUGGAGGAACGCCAGUGGCGAAGGCGACUCUCUGGUCUGUAACUGACGCUGAGGAGCGAAAGCGUGGGGAGCGAACAGGAUUAGAUACCCGAGUAGUCCCUGUCUCUUAUAC
rnacentral:rRNA from 1 species